rnacentral:tRNA from 1 species
UGGCUUAGUUGGUUAAAGCGCCGGUCUAGCGAAUAUGGAGUCGUGGGUUCGAAUCCCAC